rfam:Felis catus isolate Cinnamon breed Abyssinian chromosome C1, whole genome shotgun sequence.
GCCUGGGUGGCUCAGUCGGUUGAGCGUGCGACUUCGGCUCAGGUCAUGAUCUCAUGGUUCGUGGGUUCGAGCCCCGCGUCGGGCU